CGAUGAAUUGAACGACACCCAGGGAGUGCAUUGCCUCCCGGCGGUGCCACCCACCGUCGCGGUCAUCACCAGCGUUGCUCCUGCCUCCCGGCUCCCCAGAAAUACAAUCGGAUCUAUUGACACACCAAAAACAAUAGAAAGAUCAACCAGUUACAUUCACUAAGCACAAAGGAAAGAAAGGGAACAUGAUUGAUAACUGUGCCAAUUGUUCUUACAAUUUCCAAGAAGGUAGCAUGCUUCGAGGUUGCUGAUGUCCACGCAUAAUCUGACAAGAUUUUGGCCCGGACGGUGAUGCACAACAGUGAUGGUCUCCAGAACGACCCUACUUUGCCCAACUUCCUGAAUUUCUUGCACCUGCACGCACAUCCAAACAACUCCACAUGAGAACUCCAUCCCAGUGGCGAGCCAGAGGUAGCAUGACAAUGAUGUUGGCAUGGUGGUAGACGCCGAGCAGGGUGAGCAAGCGAGCAUCAGAGGAUGAGCAACCUGUCACCAAGCUCGU
rnacentral:lncRNA from 1 species